rnacentral:rRNA from 1 species
GACGAACGCUGGCGGCGUGCUUAACACAUGCAAGUCGAGCGGUAAGGCCCUUUCGGGGGUACACGAGCGGCGAACGGGUGAGUAACACGUGGGUGACCUGCCCUCAGCUCUGGGAUAAGCCUGGGAAACUGGGUCUAAUACUGGAUAUGACUCCACGGUGCAUGUCGUGGGGUGGAAAGCCUUGUGCAGCUGAGGAUGGGCCCGCGGCCUAUCAGCUUGUUGGUGGGGUGAUGGCCUACCAAGGCGACGACGGGUAGCCGGCCUGAGAGGGCGACCGGCCACACUGGGACUGAGACACGGCCCAGACUCCUACGGGAGGCAGCAGUGGGGAAUCUUGCGCAAUGGGCGAAAGCCUGACGCAGCGACGCCGCGUGAGGGAUGACGGCCU